UUUUGAUCCUGGCUCAGGAUGAACGCUAGCGGCAGGCCUAAUACAUGCAAGUCGAACGAUAUUAUCCAGCUUGCUGGAUAUGAAAGUGGCGCACGGGUGCGUAACGCGUAUGCAACCUACCUUAUUCAGGGGGAUAGCCCGAAGAAAUUCGGAUUAAGACCGCAUAAAAUCACAGUUCAGCAUUGGACAAUGAUCAAAUAUUUAUAGGAAUAAGAUGGGCAUGCGUGUCAUUAGCUAGUUGGCGGGGUAACGGCCCACCAAGGCGACGAUGACUAGGGGAUCUGAGAGGAUGGCCCCCCACACUGGUACUGAGACACGGACCAGACUCCUACGGGAGGCAGCAGUAAGGAAUAUUGGUCAAUGGAGGGAACUCUGAACCAGCCAUGCCGCGUGCAGGAAGACGGCCCUCUGGGUUGUAAACUGCUUUUAUUCGGGAAUAAACCUAUUUACGUGUAAAUAGCUGAAUGUACCGAAGGAAUAAGGAUCGGCUAACUCCGUG
rnacentral:rRNA from 1 species